CCCCCUGUAGCUCAGUUGGUUAGAGCAGAGGACUCAUAAUCCUUUGGUCACUGGUUCGAGUCCAGUCGGGGGGA
rnacentral:tRNA from 1 species